AUUGAACGCUGGCGGCAUGCCUUACACAUGCAAGUCGAACGGCAGCACGGGUGCUUGCACCUGGUGGCGAGUGGCGAACGGGUGAGUAAAGUAUCGGAACGUGCCUGGUAGUGGGGGAUAACUAGUCGAAAGACUAGCUAAUACCGCAUACGAUCUAAGGAUGAAAGCAGGGGACCUUCGGGCCUUGUGCUAUCAGAGCGGCCGAUAUCUGAUUAGCUAGUUGGUGGGGUAAAAGCCCACAAAGGCGACGAUCAGUAGCUGGUCUGAGAGGACGCGAAGCCACACUGGAACUGGGACACGGACCAGACUCCUACGGGAGGCAGCAGUGGGGAAUUUUGGACAAUGGGGGCAACCCUGAUCCAGCAAUGCCGCGUGAGUGAAGAAGGCCCUCGGGUUGUAAAGCUCUUUUGUCAGGGAAGAAAAGGCUGUGGCUAAUAUCCACAGCUGCUGACGGUACCUGAAGAAUAAGCACCGGCUAACUACGUGCCAGCCGCCGCAGUAA
rnacentral:rRNA from 1 species